GUCCUACGGGACGCAGCAGUAGGGAAUAUUGCUCAAUGGGGGAAACCCUGAAGCAGCAACGCCGCGUGGAGGAUGAAGGUUUUCGGAUUGUAAACUCCUUUUGUUAGAGAAGAUAAUGACGGUAUCUAACGAAUAAGCACCGGCUAACUCCGUGCCAGCAGCCGCGGUAAUACGGAGGGUGCAAGCGUCACUCGGAAUCACUGGGCGUAAAGAGCGCGUAGGCGGAAUAGCAAGUCAGAUGUGAAAACCCAAGGCUCAACCAUGGGACUGCUUUUGAAACUGUCAAACUAGAGUAAGGGAGAGGG
rnacentral:rRNA from 1 species